GCUGAAAGUUAAUCAACAUAUACAUUUUUGAUUGUGCCAUGUGGAUAACGAAUUAAUAGCAGAAAACAAAAGAAAAAAAGAGAGAAUUUUAAGUGGUUAAUAUGUCGAAUAUCUUAACAUAACUAAGAAGCUAUGCUACAAUUAAGGGAGGAGUAAGGUUACCCUACAAGACGGAUGACCACUACAUAUUUAAAGCUAUCUUUUUGGUUUAAAUUUAAUAUUCUGUUUUAAGAGUAGCAACAUUCGUCAUAUCUUCUGAAUGCUUAAGAAAGAGAUGCACCUAAAGCUAUUCCAUGUUUCAUUAACAACGGCUGGCAUUAUUUGGAAAAAAAUUUUAAGUUAAGCGCUUUGUCUGAUUUGCUUUUUAUAUAUUGUUCAUACCAAAUGAACACAUCCCUGCAUUGUUCUCCAAACUCGUAUAGAUACGAAUUAGAGGACAAUGGAAAAGGCUCAACAGCACCAACAUAGCUCAUAAUUCCAAUAAGGAAUUAAUAAUAAAUCAGCAGGCAGGAGCAGAUAUCAACGCGGACGGACAUAAAAAGGCACGAAAAUCAGAUCGCCCCAGCAGCACAACAACAACAACAACAGCAGUGCAUUGCGAUCAUGCAAAAAACCCUGUAGGAAAAAAAUCGAAAGACCCAGUAGGAAAUUUUUCGUUCAUCGGAAUUUUAAAUAUUGUGCAUAUAUAAGACACACACAAAAAAAAUUUUUUUUUGUGGAAAUUCGCCAGCAUUUGGGAAUUUGUUUGUUAAAAUUUAAAUAAAGAAAAAUUACUUAAAAUUUAUUAUUUGUUUCAUUUCAAUUUUAUAAAUUGUUGCGAUAUAUACAUAAAAAUCUAUAUAAUAAAUAAAUAAACAAAUUCGAAUAUAUCGAAGACCAUUACGAAACCCAUCCCGAAGAUGAAUCCGUUUAUACUCUGGAAAUAAAAAGAGUUGAACUCAAUGCUAUUUACGACAAGGCAAACAAGUCGUACGAUGCCUUUCGUAGAACCCCACAAAAACCCGGUGAAACUAUUGACUUCUCAAAAGUUAAAGAAAAAUUUAUAACAGGUCAUCAAUUUUAUUUGAAAUGUUAAGGAUCCAUUAACCAAGCUAUUGAUGAUCUUAAGACCCAAACCCCCACAAUAAAAGAACGAGCUUCAGAUGAAAACACAUCGCGGAGCAUAGGAUCUUCAAUUCAUCUACUUCCCUUGUGACACGGACAUAUUUUAUGGCGACUUCGUAACCUGGCCCUCAUUCAAAGACAUGUUUACGGCCAUAUAUGUAAACAAUCACAAAAUUAUUAACGUGGAGAGACUGUUUCACUUAAUUCAAAAAACCCGAGGAGAAGCAAGAGCAAUAGUUAAAAACGCACCAUUAAUAAAUGAUGGUUUCUUGAUGGCAUGGAGGGACCUGGUAUCGCAAUACGAAAACCAACAAGUUCAAGUCAACGCGCAAUUAAAAAUUUUGUUCAAUUUACCCCAAGCAAACCAGGAAAGUGGAAGCGCUUUUAAACACCUUCAAAGGACCGUCAACAAUUGUCUUACAAAUCUUCAUAAUGUAUACAUAGACACGAGUAGUUGGGAUUCAAUCUUAAUCUUAUGUGGAUUGAAACUACCUAAAACUUUACUUCAUCAAUUCGAGGACACCCUAGAAGACGCGUUUCUCACCUAUAGAUACAAAUCUUUAGAAGCAGUGGGAAAUCUAACUGACCCCGUUCCAGUUACCCAAUCCGACAAGUGGCCUUAUAGAAAAGGAAAAGACAGGAAGUUUAAUACCUUUCACGCGAACGUCUCUGGAACUGCGAAAUUGAGUUUUUUACACGCUAGGGAAAGCCCUGUAAGAGGCAGCAUCAUCUCAAAAAAACCCCAAGACUUUUAGAGUUGUAAAUUAUGUAGAACCCAACAUUCCAUUCAAGAAUGCCCAAAGUUUUUACAAAUGAAUGUCGAGACCCGAAUAAACGUAAUAAAAAAUAAUGGUUACUGUUUUAAUGCCUUGCAUUAUCGCAUAGAGCAAAUACUCAUCCCGCAAGGAUCAAGAGCCUCGAACCCGCCUCUUGACUCUACCAAUAGUAGUACCUCCCAAACCUUUAAUCCCAAUACAAAUCCGCAAGCCUACACAACCCUCUUACAGUCCACUGAAAAUAAAACUCAAGACUCACACAACUCAAGUAGGAAGCAGGUUUUGCUAGGUACUUCUAUAGUGCAAGUUUAUUGGUCAGAAGCUACCUUCAUUUCCGAGAAGUUCCACAGAAAAUUGGACAUACCAACAUUCAAGAGAAACGCACAAGUGACAACAGCUACCAAAAGUUGCGAACUCACCCUUCGUUCACCAACAAAAAGGGAAUUUAAGAUAACAACCCACUCGUUUAUCUUAAGAACUUUAACCGAUAACUUACCUACGCACUCACUUGAUAGAAUAAUUUGUAAUAAAGAAUUCGGUUUUAGCUUAGCUGACCCUCACUUCUAUAAACCCAGACCUGUCGGCAUCCUUAUCGAAAGUGAUCUGUACUUACAAAUAAUUCUCAGUGGCGUACAUAGAAAUGUACUCGGGUCAUUACUAGCCCAAGAAACAGAAUUCGGUUGGAUUCUUUCCGGACCCACACCUGAAAAACCCAUCUCACCCUCAUAAAACAACCCGAAGACACUCAACUGGGCGCUACGUGGUAACAUUACCCUUUAAAACCCUAGAAAAAAUAGACUUGGGCAAGUCAAGACAUAUAGCUUUAGCUCAGUUUCUAAGAAAUAAAAAAUCCCUAUCUAGAAAACCUGAAAUAAAAACAGAAUACAAAAAGGCCAUCAACGAGUACCUGGAACUCGAUCAUAUGACCAAAAUAAAAUAUGACCCCGCAGAGAAUACGAAAGCAUACUAUCUAUCACAUCACGCAGUCAUCAAACCCGAUCGCUUAACGACCCAACUGCGAGUGGUACUCCACGCAUCAUGCCCCACCUCAAAUAUAAACAGCCUCAACGAUGUAUUACACACUGGGCCUAUUCUGCAAGCAGACCUGGUAAUGCUAGUGGUAAAGUGGCGUAUGUUUCCAAUCGUAUUCAAUGCAGAUAUUCAAAAAAUGUAUCGUCAAAUACUUGUUGAAAGCAAACACACUCCAUUUCAAAGAAUCUUAUUUAGAAGAUCGCCUAACGACCCCAGAGAAGAUUUUGAACUACAAACUGUUACCUUUGGUAUUAACUGUGCCCCAUAUUUAGCUUGGAAAUUAGCGGAGGAUGUACAAGGAACCCACCCCAUGGCAGCAGAGAUACUUCGAAACGGAAUGUACGUCGAUGAUGUACUUGCAGGAGCACAUGACGUAGCAACUGCGAAGAUGGCACGAGACGAACUCACUUCAUAUUUGGAGUCCGCAGGAUUUGCUCUACGCAAAUGGACCUCAAAUGACCCAAAAGUCUUAUCUGGAAUCUCACAAGAACACCUGUUGGAUACCAAUUUACUCAGUUUACCGGAAUCCAAUAGCACAAAAAUACUGGGGAUCAGAUGGAAUGCAAAAAAAUAUGCAUGCUUUUUUCUCAUCAACCCUAUUCACGAUAAGACAUCGUUUACUAAAAGAGACGUAUUAUCGAUUAUAGCAAAAUUGUUCGACCCAGCUGGUUGGCUCAGUCCCGUUGUAAUCACAGCCAAAAUAAUAAUGCAACAAAUAUGGCUCGAUAAAUCCGAUUGGAAUUAAAGUUUAAAACCCUUUCGACAUCUAAAGCCCUUGACGCAUUAGAAAAAGCUUACGCAGCAAACCUAUACAUCAGUGUUUCUACAAACACAAACACCUGCACAACUCUUUUGAUAUCCAAGGCUCGUGUGUCCCCAAUAAAAAGUAUAUCUUUACCAAGGCGAGAACUUUGCGGAGCGGUUCUUCUGGCGAAUCUAGUGGAUGCGACCCUACCCCAAUUAAACAUUACUCAGUACCGCACUCCCCUUUGGACGGAUUCUACAAUUGUCCUUUCUUGGCUAAGCAAACCCCCAUGCUCAUGGACAACCUUUGUAUCCCAUCGAGUUGCCACAAUUGCAGAAAAGGUUGGAACCGAAAAUUGGCAUCACAUCGAAAGCCAGGAGAAUCCGGCAGAUCUGGGUAGUCGCAGAUGCACACCUCUGGAAAUAGUUAACAAUGACCUCGGUGGCACGGACCCCAAUGGCUAAAACUCGAUACAUUGGCCAAUUACACGAAAAUCAACCGAUACAACACUGGAACUGCGGCCAAUCAAGACUUUCGUCAACACAACACAAGAGGAUAUACUGGAUAGAUUUUCAUCACUACCCAAAGCCAUUCGAGUCAUAGCAUAUUUAUUCAGAUUCUGCUCGAAUGCGUCACCCAACAGAUCACAACAGCCAUACACAACGUUGGAUAUAACCCCAGACGAGUUCAAAACUACCCGCACGAAGUUAAUUAUUUAAACCCAAAGAAAGCACUUCUAGAAGGAGUAUGAAGCUUUAACUCAAAACACCAGCGUACACAGAAAAAGUAGAAUUUUGACCCUAAACCCUUUAAUCGAUCCCAAAGGAAUAAGGCGAGUUAAUGGCCGAUUGAGCAAUUCAGCCGCAUUAUCAAAUAACGAGCGGCAUCCGAUUAUAUUGUACUGCCCUAUAGCAGACGAUUAACAAAACUACUCACCCAAUUUACCCACUCAAUUACCCUACAUGGUGGCAACUAGCUAGUUUUACGACUCAUGCGUACGGAGUUUUGGACACCGAAGCUUAAAACGCUCAUCAAGACCAUUAUCCAUCAGUGCAAAACUUCCGUCUUACACAAGAAGAGAGAAACUACUCAAAUCAUGGCAGCUCUUCCAGCGGAACGAUUCUUUUCCAGGCGCGGAUUUUCCGCCGAUAUCUAUUCGGACAAUGGUACUAAUUUCGUGGGAGCGUCUAAACUCUAAUCAAACAUCGACGAGAAUUCAUAAAAUCACUAAAAACACAAGUAACAACAAGUGAAGCUCACCAAAACAUCAACUGGCACUUUAAUCCUCCAGGAGCUCCACACAUGGGUGAACUCUGGGAAGCAGGAGUGAAAAGUUUAAAGAGCCACUUUAAAAAGGUGUCCCAAAUCCAAAAAUGCACUUUCGAAGAAUUAUCUACCCUUCUAACCCGAAUCGAAAGCUGCUUGAAUUCUCGACCUUUAAGCCCACUAAGUGAAGACUCCAGGAAUAUAGAACCUAUAACUCCAGGCCAUUUCUUAAUAGGUACCAUUUUAUUAACCCCAGCAGAACCCAAAUUAGAACUUACACAGCUAAGCAUCGCACAUAGAUGGCAAAAGUUAAAGACACUUCUGCAAACGAUGGAAAGAAGAAUAUCUAAAAGAACUCCACAAACGGUAUAAGUGGAAAUACCCUCAACGCAAUAUAUAGGUCAAUAAUAUGGUAGUUAUACGCCAAGAAACUCUACCCCCAAAUGAAUGGAAACUUGGUCGCAUCGAAAAAACCUAUCUCGGUGCAGACAAUAAGACCAGAGCAGUUGACAUACGUACUUCUCAAGGAACAAUUACCCGCUCAAUAACCAAAAUAGUCACCUUGUCAAAUAACUAAAAAUAAUUCUUUAUAGUGACAUGGCUCCUCAAAAUAGCAUCAAACCAAUCUGCAGCCGACAGACCAAUCCAGCCUUCAUCGUACGAUCACUCAGCGUCACCCGAAGCAUCACCCCACUCUCCGAAAAUGGGACCCUGGCUAGACGCUUACAUCGCUUUAAAGCGACCCUCUCCCCCAUUCGAGAAGAAAGAGGAAGCGCCUACCGCACAGCGAACUAUCACCCAUUCAUCAAAACGCACACAUAAACACGUCGCCUGUGGAUUGUGUAAAAAGGAUCACCGAUUGGUGAUAUGUUCAAUUUACAAAAAUGAACAUUCACGAAAAGUUUGACGCAGUAACUAAGUAUAAGUACUGCGUCAACUGCUUGCCCAGAUCGCACUCAACACAAAGCGCAAAACGAUGUAGCAUGUGUAACGGGGAGCAUCAUUCAACCCUACACGGACACCCCAGGUUUUACUGCAAAGAGACAACCAAAACAACAAAUAGCGACAAAAGACUGCACAAAGACCAAGAGAUUCCAACGCUACUGGCCAAGUCGACCCUUAUACCCACUGCCAUGAUAAAAAUAAAACACGAUGGCAGAUGGAAUAAAAUACAUGCCAUAAUUAUCCUGACCCGAAAAGUAACAAUAAUUGUCUAGGUCUUGGUUCAGGGAUUGAGGUUGCCGAAAACAUACCUCGACUUUCACCGUAUAUGUAAAAUCGUCAUAGGGUCACUAACUGAUCUCGACUGGCAUGUCGAAGUCAAUUGUCUUAUGACGCAGGAAUUACCGACCCGACCCUACAAUCGUGAUAUAGGUGGCGAAAUCUUGAAGAGAUUCGACCAUUUAGUCCUAGCCGACCCUAUGUUUCACAAGGAUGAUAAAAUCAUGAUGGAACUGGGAGCAGACAUCUACCCAAGGAUAAUGAAACCCGGAUUAUUCAACCCAGACAACAGCACCGUGAUCGCACAAAGCACCGCACUCGGUUGGACUCUAACCGGGGCUUGUGCGAUUUAAGCUAGGGAUAGGAAAGUCGACUCUGACUUUGGUCAAGAAUCGAUUUUUAACUUAAAAUAAUCGACUUUUUAGAAUCGAAUUUGAAUGCUUCAAGUCGAUUAAAAUCGAUUUUCACUCGAUGACUUCGACUUUUCUGUUAACAGUUAUAACAUUCGAUGGUAGUACAGUUUGUAUCGUUUCCAUGUACCGACUCUUUUAUAUUUUUUUAUACCUUAUCGUUAAACUAACCUCUUUCUGAUUGGACAAAAAUAAACAUCAUCGCUGGGAUCCUUGUUAACCGUUUAAAAUAAGCAUAGUAUAACAUAACUGACGGAAAUAUAAUUGUUUAAUUUUUAAAAAAGUCGAUUAAAGAAUCGACUUUUAGCAAUGAUUAAUCGACUUUAAGAGUCAUAAAAUUCCAAGUCGAUUCUAAAAUCGAAAGUCGACUUUUCGCGCGCUGUUACCAUCCCUAAUUUAAACCCUAAGUAACCACUCAACCCAUUUUAAAACAAUAUUCAUUAACCCAAAGCGAAAUAGAUCUAAUAACUUUUAUAUUCGCAGACCCUGCAAAGCGGCCGGGAUGAUCAUACCGAAUGAACACAUCCCUGCAUUGUUCUCCAAAUUCGUAUAAAUACGAAUUAGAGGACAAUGUAAAAGGCUCAACAGCACCAACAUAGCUCAUAAUUCCAAUAAGGAAUUAAUAAUAAAUCAGCAGGCAGGAGCAGAUAUCAACGCGGACGGACAUAAAAAGGCACGAAAAUCAGAUCGCCCCAGCAGCACAACAACAACAACAACAGCAGAACCACCAAAAUCUACGCGGGAUUAUCAACCCACAUCAGGCGUUUAUAAAGAAGAGGACACUCAACACUUUCCAUUUUGUUGGUGGACUGAGGACCAGAGGAAUUUCGCCAUGGUAACUGCGUAUCGAAUUUAAAUCCUCCAUGUGUUGGGCAUAGGAGUAGUACGUAAAUUGGUUGAAAACGAAAUGAAUGGUGUGCAGCGGCUUGUACUUAAUGAAUACAAGUAUCAAGACGAUAAUACGACACGAAAGUUGGUCUGGUCUAUAAUACAUAAAUAUAUAAAUUAAAUAUAUACAUACCAUACAUAUAAAGUAUUAAUUAAUUUUAAUAUUUAGUUUAAGAAAUAACGUUUCUAUAAUUAAAUAAAUCGAAUUAAUUUAAAAAAAGUGGUAUUGUAACGGAUUUCUCGAUAAAUAGUAAUCGUAACUCACUCUUGCGUUCAAUCAUUGGAUUGUUAAAUAAAAAUCGCAACUUAAUGAUAAUUUCUUUACUUCUAAUCCAAAGACUUAACGCUUACUACUUAUUAUUCGAAUUCCCAACUUCUUAGUUAUAUCUUAAUUGCUCUUAUAGCAGCAACACCCUAAGUAGAACUGUGUCUGCUGCACAAUCCGGCAGACCUUAUAUAAUAUAUUCGAUCUUCAACAUAACAUCGCCUCUAAACAUUAUGGCUACUACGAAUUCGCUAGUCCGUUCCGUCUCGUCUUCUAGGAUGAUGUUAGCUUCUUUAACAGUCUUUGUUUUGUUGGAGUUAAUUUCAUUCGUUUUCCGGAUACCCAGUUUCUGGUACAUCCCUUGCCUUAAAGCUGACUUGUGAAUUUCAUUGUUGACCAGAACGUAAUUCCAUUGGAACACCGAAUCUCGUUACCCACUUGUUGCUGAAUACGUCCGCUACUGGUUCAGUCUCUUGACUAGUAAUUCUGGCCAUUCGUUGAAAUGAUUAUUGACUACCAGAACAUGACUAUUUCCUAAUUUAUUUUUGGGAAAUGGACCAUUUUCAUCCACUCUAAAUUGAUCAACUGGUGGACCCGAAUUGUACUGUUUCAUGUGGCCAGGACUUCUGGACCUUGACCCUUUAGAUACAAUACACUCAGUAUAUUCUGCAAACCUCUCCAUAGCUGAUUGACGACAACCAGUCCAAUUUCUCCAAGAUUUUCGUGAUUCACAAGUGCCCAUCUCUUGGACCUUGGUACUGCACGUUAAGAACUUCAGGAAUUCUAACCUUCGGAACAACCAUAAGUGCUCGAGAGCUUUGAACAUCUUCGCUUUUCCAUACUCGAUGCAAGCAGCCACACUCCUCACCUCUGCCCAAUAUUCUUUCGCAACUUGCCUUCCUGUAGUUAUUCCUCCACUCGUUGUACAUCGGUUCAAAUCCACUUCAAGCAUUAAGCAACACACUUCCUACAUUCCACAAUUGAGGGAGAAUGUAGCAAAUCGGCGUAAAGCCAUUCCUCUUUCUGUUUUAACUUCCGAAGUGGCAGGACCAUUUCAGCUACCCGCAACAAAACUGGCGGAUCAAAGCGUUUAUAAUUUUUUGUUUUAAAAUGAGUUGAAAUUCAAAACAAAUCGCAUUCGGCAAACACGUUAAAAAGAAAAAAAAAUUAAUCAAAAUUUUAACAAUUUUUUGUUUUAACAAGAGUUUAAAUUUAAAACAAAGCGAACUCAAAAUGAAAUUGAAAAAGACGAAAAUAAGCAAAAAGGAGAACAAAUUAAAUUAACAUACAUACAAAAGACGUUGAAACGCAAAAUGACAUUGAAAAAAUGACAUAAGAAAAAAUUUAAACAAAUAAAAAUAACAUAAGAAAAGACGGUAAAAGGCAAAAUGACAUUGGAAAAAACGAAAAUUGCCAAAAGUAGAACAAUUUAAAAUACCGGAAGAAAAGAUAGUGGGACGCAAAAUGAAAUCGAAAAAUGCGCAAAAAGUAAAACAAAUUAAAAUACCAUAAGACAAAGAAAUCCACGACAAAAAAGGUGAAAUUUAAAACAAAAUAUGAACACGCAAACGAAAAGCACUUCAAUGACUAAUACGUCUAGUAGAAACAAGCGAAAAGGACAAAAAGCAAGGAAAUAACCGAUGAAACACCGAUGAUAAUACGAUGCGAACACCAAAAACAAACAAGAAAUAUCCGAGGGAAAUCUAAGAUAGCUGUAUUUACAUUUUAAGUUAACUUUAAAUUGUCGUUGAAUCUUAAAAACAAUUAAACCUCUUUUUUUUUAAAUCGAAAAUAUUGAAAUAGGUAUUUGAUACUCUUACCUUAAACGAAAAUAAAUAGGGGUGCUUGUAAAGAACGUCUCAAUCUACUUAUUAGUUAUUUUUGAAAAAACUAUUCAUACGAAAAGUAGAUCAGGCUAAUUUUGCGGAAAAAAACAAUGGAAGCGACGCAAAUAAGCAAUUUCAGUUAAUAUUCACUUGUCCUAAAACUUCUAAAAUAUAUAAAGAGUUUUGACGGCAAUGACCCUAAUCAACUGCCAGACUUCAUAAACCAAAUAGAGAACAUCCUACCAUCUAUCGUAGAAUUUGACAAUAACAGUAGUAGUAUACUUUUUGGCUAUGUCAAAAAUAAAUAUGUUGGUAAAACCAGAGAAGCAAUUCACCGACACAAAAAUAUAACCUUCUGGGAUACAAACGUUAGAAAACGCUUACAAAAUAAUCGCAGAAGCGAGACAACACGCCUAUACUUCCUACGGAGCCAUAAGUAAAAAUUCAACUGCCCAAACAAAUAGAAAUUUUAGCAAUAGCCCGGAAAGCAAUAAUUGUUACCAAAACAACAUGCGGAACAAUAGACAAUACGGUUAUUUUUACAAUCAAAAUCAGAAUAAGAACGAGCGAAAAAAGUACAACGUCCACAAUGAUAGAAAUUUUAACGAUACUUACCAUUAAAAUAAUAACUACAACCCCAACAGGAUAACAUAAAUAUGAACUGACUCCAAUCAAACUCGAAUGAGAAGACCAGAGACUAUGGACUCAGAUUUCACGUACACGGAAGAAACAACUUCCUUCUAUAAUAGUAAAAACACACUUAGGACCACUAUAUUCCGUUAUAGAAACAGGGGUGGAACUCAGUUUAAUAUAUGAGGGAAUUUGCAACCCUAAAUGGAAAGAACACGAACUUAAGACUUUUUGCACAGUAUCAAAUUUUACAGAUUUCAGUGAAGCAAAUAACACGUUUCAAUUCCUUGAAUGCAAUUUCAGUAAAUACUUCAACGGACUGUUAGGAAACAAUAUUUUCAUUGAAAUCGAUUGUAAUAUAAACUACCCAAGCAGAUUUUUGAGUACAAGAAAAUCAUUCAUAAAUUUCUUAUGAAUAAGGAGGAAGAAGCGUAUCCGAAUAACAGUUUUAAAGGUAGUGCGAUAGAAAUUCUCACAAACACAGUAAAAUAUAAAAAAAUUUGGGAACACAUAAGUUAUAAGUUAUAAAUUAAUAACUAUUGUUAUGAAGAUACAAAGAUAUAUAUUAUCAUGAAAACGACAGCCUGCCAUUCACUACUAUAAUAAAACAUAAAAUAACUACACACAACGAUAUUCCCAUUUAUUCCAAAAUGUACAGGACCCAGAGAUACAUAAGCUUCCGAGAAGCUUGACGCGUCUAAUAAAUUAAAGUGUCGCAUCGUCAUCGACUACUGAAAGUUGAAUAACACCACUGUAGAAGACAGAUUCCAUAUUCCAAAUAUAGAAGAUAUAUUUGAUGAGCUAGGGAGAUGCCUUUACUUUACAGCACUCGACCUGGCGAAAAGCUUUCACCAAAUCGAAAUGAAUGAAAGCGAUAUCCAUAAAACAGCAUUUUCUACAGCCAACGGUUACUAUGAGUUUCUACGUAUGCCUUUCGGCUUACGUAAUGCCACCAGCCACGUUUCAGAGACUAAUGAAUGAUGUUUUGAAUUUAUCGGAAAAAUUUGUAUAGUAUAUUUAGAUGACAUACUUGUGUUUUCUACAAGCAUGCAAUAGUACAUAAAAUUUUGUACUGCCUACAUAAAGCAAAUUUAAAAGUCCAAGUGACCAAGUGUAUCUUUUUAAAACAACAAACUAAAUUUUUAGGGCACGUCAUCUCGCACGAAGGAAUAAAACGAAACUAAAGAAAGUUGAAGAAAUUGACAAAAUUAGGCUUCCCAAAAACCAAAAAGAGAUAAAAAGCAUGUUUAUUCAUAACGGGUUAUUACAGGCGAUUUAUCCGGGAUUAAUCUAAAAUAACUUACCCACUCGUAAAAUAUUUAAAGAAAAAUACAAAGAUACAAAAUUUAUAGAUGCAUUCAAGAAAUUAAAAGGAUUUAUUAAAUCAGAACAAAUCUCCACACACCCCGAUUUUCAACAACGCUUCCGAUUAGUCACCGAUGCUAACAACUUUGGUUUGGCAAAUUAGUUUGCUAAGCUAGAACAUCUCUCAACGUACACGAAAAGAAUUAUAGCACGAUCGAGAAAGAACAUAAUAAAAACCGACCAUCGCCCACUCGUAGGGGCUAACUAAUGUAAAAGAACCGAAUAGCAAAUUUCACGCUGGAAAAUAAAAUUAAACAAAUUUGAAUUCCAAAAAGAAUAUAUAAAAGGAGAAGAAAACGUAAUAGUGGACGGACUUAGAAGAAUAGUAUACGAUACGGACGCCCAGCUAGACAACUAGAAACUUAUAUAAACGAACUUACUGAUGAAGAUGUCGAUACAGUUCAUAGUGCAGAAACGGAUAGUACAGACGUUAUUUCAAAUAAAGUGGAGUUAGUAAAGGUGUCGGUACCGAAGUUAGCGCAAGAACCGUUCGUCAGUCUUCAAAACGUUGGUUUGAACGCUCGUCGGGCCGCCAAAAACCCACUUUAAACCUCAAAAAUGCGAAAAAACCAUUUUCGAUGGGCAAAAGAACAUCAAAACUGGACUCAUCUUAAUUGGCGAAAUUUUAUCUUUUCAGAUGAGUCUAAAUUUAACCUUUUUUCGGCGACGGUAUGUCCUACGUUAGAAGGAGAACCGGUUCAGGGACAAUUGUCAGAAUCUCAACCCCAUUGAGAGGCUUUGGUUUAUAAUGAAGGCUUAGGUGGCACAGAAAAGACCAAAAACUUUAGCCGAAUUAGACACAAUUCUCGAAGAAAUACCACACAACUGUAUCGUAGCAGGAACUUUACAAAUCCUCAUUAAUUCAAUGCCCAAAGCGUGUAAAAGCCGUUAUUACAAGUAGAGAAGGUUCGACAAAACACUAAUGAGAUUGUUUUUUAUUUUUAUAUUGUUGACUACCAAAAUGAUAAAAUAUCUAAAAUGAAUGAAAAAUAAAAAAUUUUGUGCAAUGCACAACACUGACUUUGUUUACACUAAUAACUCUGUAUAACUGUAUUAACCAUAAUUUAUUGUUUAAAAAAAAAUAAAAUUAAACAUUUGACUAAUAUAGUAAGGAAAAACUAUAAUUUUUUAGUGGCCGGAUUUCACUGUCCGCUAAGGAAUAUACGGCAUUUAAAUACUGAACAAGAUUUAAUAUAUUUGAAUUAAAAACAAAAAGAUAUAAAUACCGACAAAUGCAACGACACCCAAUCAAAUUAACAGAGACCGUUGAAUCUGAGGGUGAAGGUCACGUAAUGCGUCCCACACUUCCCACAUUCCACAAUUGAAGUGGAACGUAACGCACCAGCGUGAAGAAUAGAAUAGAAUGAAUAUGAGGUUUGCACUGCGACCCGGGUCUAUUGUGCCCUAACAGCGUGAAGACAUUCCUCUUUAUGUUUCAACUUCCGAAAAGGUUAGACCAUUUCAGCUACCCGCAACUAUACACGCUUCGUGCCCUUCCAACUGCAAGGAUACUUGUGCUGGUAUACGCACACCCAGCUCUUUCGACUGUGAGGACACUUGUGCUGGUAUACAAGCUUCUUGCUCGCUCCCAGAACGAUUCCAACGCAGCAUCUUAAUUGCUCUUUACACGGCAACACUCUAACUAGAACUGUGUCUGCUGCACAGUCUGGCAGCCCUUAUAUAGUAGAUCUUUAACAAAACAUCGCCUUCAGAACAUUCUGGCAACUACGAAUUCACUAACUGGAAUCUGGCAGUUUAUCUUCGAUUCGAUUUGGUUCUAUCAUCCGUGUUCGUCCCAGUCUUUUAUUUUAAAGAAUUGGAAUUGGUUUUGGUAAUAAAAGGGUAACCGAUACACACAUGAAUUUUUUAGAAGUAACAAAUGAGUAGCCGAGGAAAAUCGAGCUAAUAGAUAUGCUUGUUAUAGAUAAAAAAUACGCUAACAUGUUUAUAUGUUAAAGGUUGCAACCUGCUAACCAAAACAAUAACACUAACAGCAACUUGGGUGACAAAUACUUUUGUCUAACCUUUUUGCUAACAAAUGUGUUUUUAUGGGUAACACAUAGGUAACCUAUUCGCUAACAAAAGUAUUUGUUACCUUUAACGGACUGUAAACAAAUUUAAUAACCAAUGUAUGUCAUUCUGUUAACCAAAACAUAACAAACAAGGUACGCAUAUGAGAGGUAACUUAGAACGAGACAGCAUGCCAUAAUUGCAAUGUGUUGUGGCGAUGUGUUACUUUUUUCCCAAUCUCUGAACUAAAGUAACAAAUAGUUUAACGUAUGCAUAAGUGAACAAUAACAAUUCGCUACCACGUUGGCUAACAGACACCCGUCUUGCCACGAAAAUCAUGCAAAAACAGACAAAUUUUUGUAAAUUUUGUGUGAUGAAACAGUUAACAUCUCUUUAGUAAAACUAAUGGUAAAUAAACUAAUAAACAGUAUCGAUAUUUCAAUCUUAUAAUUAUUUUGAAACACUGAAGGAAAAUAUGCAAUUUUUUGCGAAAAGACGACUAAUUUGUUAUUAUAAAUAAAAAUUGUUAACCAAUUUCGAAAUAACUCUCCAGCUUUACCUCGUUAAGUAUGUACAAAAGAAUCGGUGUUAUGUCGGUGUAGUAGUUCUGAAAUACACUGCCUUUGAAAACAUAAGUUGUGAAGAAAACGCUUUAAAGUUUUGAUUGUGAUGUAACUAUGUAAUAUUUAUUUAAGGUUUAAAAAUACUGAUAACUUCGGCAAUUUUUCUCCAAUCGAUUUGAAAAUUGAAAAUACAAAUAUGCUAAGUUUUGGCGCAGCCGAACAUGUAAAACUCUUGUAAUUUUUAAAGAUCAAAGAGCAUAUAACCAGGUGUUAAAGUUAAAAUUAUAUUUAAAAAUGUUACACACGAAUUUAUUCAUUAUUCGACGAUAUUUUGAAAGACAUUGACAGCAUUGAUCAAAUUUUUUAAAUAAAUAGUAAAGAGAAACAUACAAAAAUAGGAAACAAUGAAGUUCAUUCAAAUAAUCUUAAGAUUUAUUUACUAAUUAUCAAUUUAUAAGAAAUCUGCCUUUAAAUAAAAUUCUUACAAUUAUAAAUAUUAAUUUUACCUUAUAUAUGCAUUAAUAGAAAAUUUAAAUUCCUAAAAAUUAUUUUAUAUAUAAUAAAAAAAUUGUACAAUAUAAUAAUAAUUUUCUUUAAAUAGCAAGGACUUUUUUUUCUACUUUGGUCAAUUAAUUCGUUGCGAACGUUUGUAAAUAGAAAAACAAUUAUAAAAUAUACGUAUUUCCUUUAAAGAUAUUCAAUGUACUCAAAUUCUAAAAUUUGCAAAAUUAUAUAUGCAUUUUUUUUGACAUUUUUACCUCAUAUAAAAAGGCUUGGUACACAAAAUGGCGACAGGCGAACCGCGGUAGGUAGACGAUAUUCUCUCGUAAUGUAAAUUUUAGUAUUCUGUUGUCGAAAAGCAGCUAUAUUUACGCUAUUAGAGAUAUUUAAUAAAGGUAAGUCUAAACCUGAAUUUUCACAUUGUUUUUUAUUUUGCAUAGAAUUAAUUGACAAACUGUAUCUCGCAAACAUAAAAACUAUAUGAAAAAACUUGUUCAGAGCAAAUCUUUCCCACACCUCCUCACACAUUGAGUAAAUAUGUCAAAUCGUUGUUUUAAAAACUACUAAAAGUGAGUUAAGGCGGCAUCAGAAUGGGUAUUUGCUACACUAUGUCGGCGACGGAUAAGUAUGCGAAUGAAGUGUCGUACGUUACCCAGACGUAUGACACAAUGAAUGGAAUGGAUGCUUCAUUCAUGUGAUUCCGUCGCUAUCUAUAUAAAUGCACACAUUUAACUCAGUUGUCAGUUGCAUACUUUUCCGCUGCGGAAUCAACGUACCUAUUCUGACGGCGCCCUUAAAUCGCUGAAGAAAAUACCAGAAGCACAAUAAAGGACGAAAGGAAUCGGUCUCGAAACUGAACAAUUGGCAGUGCACAGCUCUCUAUUAAAUUAAAUCCCAUAAUUUAGAAACGACGCAAGCAAAUUUGGUGCAUAACAUUAUCUUACAGUAUGUAAAUCAUUGUACAGGCAUACAAGUAAACAAAGAAUCAUAUGGUUUCCAAGAAAAGUUUCAAAAUCAACGUUUUUUGGGUACAGAGAUUUAAAUAAAAGGAGUGUAAUAUUAUAUUAUAACUUUUUUUCUUCUGAAAAGGUAUUUUUAGUUGAAAAUAUUAAUGAAAAUGUUUAAGAAUAUAUAGAAACCAAUCUACCAAGUAAUAAACAAUAUUUAUAAAAUAUUCUAUAUCACGGUUCUACACACACCAUUUUUUUAGGUAAAAUUUGGGAAAAUCCGAUCCUAUGGCAAGUAGAAUAAAAAUGUUGUGCAUAAAUAUUUUAGAUUUUUGAUAGAAAAUAUAUAGUUUCAGGAUGUGGUGUUACUACUUGGCAAUUCCUAUAUUGCUUUUCUAAAGUAAAGAAGAAGAAACCUGCAGACAGUUCACAAAACUUGCAUUGUGAACACACAAAACAGUCCGAACGUCAUAAACUAUGUAUGUGCAAGUUCAGACGAGGACUCCUUUUGCCGCCCAAAUCGGUUAUCGUGGGCGAGGGAACGACUAGGAAAAGCGAAGAGACUGAGUACAUGUGGUACACUUUGAUUUUUUUCCGUAACAGCGCGCUGCUACAAAUAUAAAGCUAUGAUUGUGCGUCGCCAUUCAGUUUGUUUGUCUUGCCUUUAAUUUGAUAGGUAUGAGAUGCGUUAAAAUGGUACGAAUAUUCGUGUAGAUAUUUGCACAUAUUACACUGGAACAUUCAAUAGUGGAGUUUGGGUCGGUAGAAAUUUCAAAAUCAGGGAACUGAUCAAUAGUAACUGUCUACAUUAUUUUGCGACUUGUUGAGUAAUAAUACAUUGAAUAUCUUUAAAAAAAUAUGCAUACUUUAUCUUUUAUUUAUUUACGAACAUUUUUUACUAAAUAAUUUACCAAAUUUGAUCUUCAAAAAUGACAUUGCUCCGUGAUUGAAUUUUGGAAGUAACAAUUAUAUUCACCCUUUUUUUGAUUUCUCACCAAUAGAAACUGAUGCAAUUAUAUGCUGAAACUAGUAUUUAUAAUUGUAAUAAUUACAAUUUACACAGAAAUUUAGUAAUUUCACGACAAACGUAUAAAUUAAUUCAAUUUUACUAAAUAUAAUUAUUUUUAAUUGUAAUGUACGCCAUUGUUUUCCAUUUUUCUAUGUAACAAUCCAGUUUCAGUAUCCAACGCAAGCAAAAGAACAAUUUUAAUCAACUAUAUUUAGACUAUAGGGGUGUUAGAUCACUUGGGUACAUAUCUAAUACAGUUUUUUAAUUUUUUUGGAUACGUAGCUAGAUGAUAGCAGAACGAACCUGGUAGUCUUGAGGUUCGAAAAACCAGAGUCAUUGCAAGCAGAGAUUUUUAAUAGACAAUAGGACUGCACUAUUUGGUCUAUAUAUGUACAUACAAGGUGCAUUCCAAAGUAAACAGUAAAAAAGUAACAGA